rnacentral:rRNA from 1 species
GACGAACGCUGGCGGCGUGCCUAAUACAUGCAAGUCGUGCGGACCUUUUAAAGCCUGCCUUUAAAAGGUUUGCGGCGGACGGGUGAGUAACACGUUGGCAACCUUCCUUUUAGACCUGGAUUACGCCCGGAAACCCGGGCCAAUUCCGGAUUGGUUUUUCUCCGCAUUGAGGGAAAAGGAAAGGGCGGUUUGGCUUGCCCCUACAGGUUGGCCCGCGGCGAAUUUGGCUGUUGGCGGGGUAACGGCCCACCAAGGAAACGAAGCGUAGCCGACCCGAGAGGGUGAUCGGACACAUGGGGACUGAGACACGGCCAAAACUCCUACGGGAGGAAGCAGUAGGGAAUCUUCCGCAAGGGACGAAAGUCUGACGGAGCAACGCCGGGUGAGUGAAGAAGGCCUUCGGGUCGUAAAACUCUGUUGCCGGGGAAGAACAAGUGCCGUUCGAACAGGGCGGCGCCUUGACGGUACCCGGCAAGAAAGCCACGGCUAACUACGUG